GACGAACGCUGGCGGCGUGCUUAACACAUGCAAGUCGAGCGGUAAGGCCUCUUCGGGGGUACACGAGCGGCGAACGGGUGAGUAACACGUGGGUGACCUGCCUUCCGCUCUGGGAUAAGUCUGGGAAACUGGGUCUAAUACCGGAUAUGACCUUUCCUCGCAUGGGGUUUGGUGGUAAGUGUUUUCGGCGGGGGAUGGGCCGGCGGCCUAUCAGCUUGUUGGUGGGGUGAUGGCCUACCAAGGCGACGACGGGUAGCCGGCCUGAGAGGGCGACCGGCCAGGCAGGGACAGAGGGACGGCACAGACUCCUACGGGAGGCGGCAGUGGGGAAUAUUGCGCGACGGACGGAAGCCUGACGCAGCGACGGCGCGUGGGGGAUGACGUCCGUCUGGUUGUAAACCUCUCUCGACCCCGACGAAGUUGGACGGUAGGGGGAGAAGAAGCACCGGCCAACUACGUG
rnacentral:rRNA from 1 species